rnacentral:rRNA from 1 species
GACAGAGGGUGCAAACGUUGUUCGGAUUUACUGGGCGUAAAGCGCGUGUAGGCGGCUUGGCAAGUUGAAUGUGAAAGCCCACGGCUCAACCGUGGAAGCGCAUCCAAAAACUGCUUCGCUGGAGUCUCGGAGAGGAAGGUGGAAUGCUUGGUGUAGAGGUGAAAUUCGUAGAUAUCAAGCAGAACACCUGCGGCGAAGGCGGCCUUCUGGACGA